rnacentral:lncRNA from 1 species
AGAAUUAUUCAAACAUGGUAAUAUAUAACAUUUCACAAAAAAUAUAUUCUAAUAACUACAAAGCUAUAUACAAACAAAACAGACAUUAAAAAAUUUUAAAAAAAUGUUAGAUGCAAAUUUGUUCGAAUUUGGGAAACAUUGUUUUGGCUCUAAAAACUCAGAUUCAUGUGUCAAAUUUUCUUAGUACUUGAAAAGACUACAACUUUUUUUUACCAGGAAAAGACAUAAACUUUAUAACUUACAUUGUUGUUGCUUGCUUUUAUGUUAACUGUAUAUUUGUUGUGAGCUCAUGGUGGUUAUACAUUUACAGGUUUUUGAUCUUACGUAAUAAUACAUUUACGUAAUAAUGUUGAGAUCUGUGCUUACGGUUGUUGUCAAUUGAUGUAUUUUUAUGAAAUUUUAUAAAAAUACAUUUACCAAUUGGCUACACCACAGCUUUCAACAUAACAAUAUAGUGGUUCCAUAUGAAUUGUCUCAUUUAUAAUAUC